UUCCAUGCUAAUUUUCUACUCAAAAUAAUGGUUUUUUGACGGUGUGAAAAGGUAAUUUGAAAUCGAUUCCUGUUUGAAAUUUAGGAAGAUUGUGAACUUGAAUUUUUUAGUGUAAGAAUUUGUGGUUAUGCCUUUUCCUAUGAAGAUUCAACCUGUUGACUUCAGUACUGUGGAAGAAUCGAGUCGAUGUGACUCGUUUAAGCCGGUUCCGAAGUCACGGUUCAAGCGGCUAUUUGAGAGGCAAUUUUCAGGGCUAUUGAGAUCAUCGGCGCCGGAGAAGCUGGUUAACGGUGAGGAUUUGAUUGGGAAUAAGAAGGAUGCGUCUGAAGAACUGGAGCCUAGUUCUGUUUGUUUGGCUAAAAUGGUGCAGACUUUUAUUGAGGAAGGUGAGGAUAAGCAUCGGUGCAAUCGAAGCCGAUGCAGUUGCUUUAAUUGUAAUGGAACUGAAAGCUCAGAGGAGGAGAAUGAUUCAGUCAAUUGCUUCGGUGAAUCAAAUCAAAAUUGCUCUAGCGAUGCUUGUGAAAUUCUCAAGAGUGUGGUGUCUUGUCCUUCUGUCCUUGAAAGGAACGUCUUGGCGGAAAUUACAAAGAUCAUUGAGAAAAACAGGAUGGUUAAGCGAAAGGACAAUUUCAUCAGAAAGAUGGUUGUUGAUGGCCUUCUAGCUAUGGAAUAUGAUGCCUCAAUCUGCGAGUCUCGGUGGGAGAAGACUCCUUCAACUCCUGCUGGAGCUUAUGAAUAUAUUGAUGUGGUGACUGAAGGAGAAAGACUUAUAAUCGACAUCGAUUUCAGAUCGGAAUUUGAAAUAGCAAGGUCGACUAGGUCUUACAAAUGUCUUCUCCAAGUGUUGCCUAACAUUUUUGUAGGCAAAGCAGAUCGCCUUCAGAAGAUUGUUCAUCUUCUAACAGAAGCUGCAAAACUGAGCUUGAAGAAGAAAGGGAUGCCUUGUCCUCCAUGGCGUAAAGUUGAAUACGUGAAAGCUAAAU
rnacentral:misc_RNA from 1 species